UACGAAGGGGGCUAGCGUUGUUCGGAAUUACUGGGCGUAAAGCGCACGUAGGCGGCUUUGCAAGUCAGAGGUGAAAGCCCGGGGCUCAACCCCGGAAUAGCCUUUGAGACUGCAUCGCUAGAAUUGUGGAGAGGUAAGUGGAAUUCCGAGUGUAGAGGUGAAAUUCGUAGAUAUUCGGAAGAACACCAGUGGCGAAGGCGACUUACUGGACACAUAUUGACGCUGAGGUGCGAAAGCGUGGGGAGCAAACAGGG
rnacentral:rRNA from 1 species